rnacentral:tRNA from 1 species
GCCGAGGUAGCUCAGGUGGUUAGAGCGAGGGAUUCAUAACCCCUAGGUCGCCGGUUCAAGUCCGGCCCUCGGCA